rnacentral:lncRNA from 1 species
GAUCUCACCGGAAUCACCCAGGAUGAUGUCGACGCUGGAGUCAGCCUCGCCGAGGCACUAGAGAUGCAUGAUCGUUGGCUCGAAGAACAUGGUGCUAAGCUGGGCAAGCUCGCCGUUGUAACCUGGGGAGAUUGGGACUGCCGCACUAUGCCUGAGGGGGAAUGCCGCUUCAAAUCAAAGGUAUAGAAAAGCCUCACUAUUUCGAUCACUGGAUUAAUCUAAGGCUGCCCUUCUCUGCAGCAUUUGGUCUUGGCAACGUCCGUUUCACUCUACAGGAUGCUAUUCGGAAGGCGGGGCUGCAGUGGGAGGGCCGCCUCCAUUGUGGUUUGGAUGAUGCUCUAAACACCGCUCACCUCCUCGUCGAGCUCAUGCGGCGGGGAACCCUUCUCAAGAUCAUAGGCUCUUUGGCGCCAACGCAGUCACCUCCUCAGCCUCAGCAUAAGGCGGUGCUGCCAUGUGUUGGCUCGCGUUCGACGCUACCUCCGCAGCCUCAGCCUCAGGUGCUGCUGCCAUGUGCCGCGGCCACCGGGAUGGACGCAGUGUCGUGCUGCUUUUGUGGUGUGGCCAGCAAGCUAGGCGUGGUGGCCACGCCGGGCCAGAUGCAGGGGCAUUACUUCUACGGAUGCGGCUGGUGGACUCCGACAUGUUCUUUCUUCAUGUGGGCAAUAUAAUUGCCUACGGUCUGCACAGGUAAGUACUUCCUCCAUCCCAAAUUAUAAGUCAUUCCAAGAACCUUGGUGAGUCAAAGUUUUUUAAGUUUGACCAAAUUCAUAUAGCAAAAUAAUAACAUUUUUGGUACCAACCAAGUAUCAUUAGAUUCUUUGUUAGUUAUAUUUUCAUAGUGUACCUAUUUUAUGACAUAAAUCUUUAUAUUUCUCUCUAUAUUUUUGGUCAAACUUAAAAAUAUUUUGACUCUCCAAUAUUCUUGGAAUGACUUAUAAUUUGGAACGGAGAGAUAUUAGGUAAGUAUUCACCUUUCCCCUUUUCAUAUAUCAUAUCAAUUUCUAGUGCAAAGGUUCACGAUUAUCUAUUAUUUAAGCAUAUAUGUACACAUUAUUUCAGUUUGUCUUAGUCUCAUAAAGGAUACUAGGUUUUUUUCACGCGUAAAUUUCCUGGAACGUAAAACUCAGAUAGGGUCACAAUGGUGUUGGUGGGAAGGUGCCACUCGAGUCGGGGUUGUGUGGCAUAGUCUGCACGUAAAAUCCCUUGCUUGUUCCGCAUCUUCAUGCGGCGGUUGACUGAACCGUGAGUAGCUUGUGGGGAGGUCGUUGCUGAACCGACUUCUCCGAUAGUGAUUGCGAUUCUUCAGAGAUACACUACAUCAUGGAGCCAAAGCCAAGUAAGCCUUUGCACAGACUCAAUCCUGGUUGUCCACCAUGGCCUUGAAGACACAAGAUCGGUAUGAUCGUCUCGAUGAAAGUAUUGAUCUUUUCUUCACCAUGGUGUCCAGUAUGGAUACUUUCCAGCAACAAAUGUCGUUUAACUCUCACGUGGUUGAAAAAACAGUGAAAGAUCAAGUGCUAUUGACCAAGCAGAUGAAGACCUCGUCAAAGUCAAUGCCUUGACGCUGCACAUAACCCUUUGCGACCAGCUAGGCUUUGUACUUGGAGAUGAUCCCGGCUGCGUCCUUCUUCGUCUUGUAUACCCAUUUUAGCCCGAUGGGUCGAACUCUAGGCGGUGGGUCAACGAGCUCCCAUGUACUGUUUGCCUCAAUCGCCGUCAUCUCGUCGAGCAUGGCAUGGUGCCAACAAUCGUGUUUCAGUGCCUCAUCGAGACUGGUUGGCUCGGUGUCGCGGGCGAGUAGCAGAUGCUCCUCUAGGUCCCGUGCAGCGAUGCCGGGCAUCGGUGCCGGUCCGAUUACGUUGUCGAUGCGGUGAAACCGGAGGGGGACGUCGUGGUCGUGGUCGUUGUCGAGCUGCUCGCUGAGGGAGGAGCUUGGUGGAGAGGCGAAUUCGACCCCGUGCGACGAGGUCGGGCUCGACGUCGCGGGUGCUGAGCCCUGUGCUGGUGUUCCCGCCGUGUACUGGUUCGGCGGCGGAGUUGUGGGCGAUGUUGAGGCAGAGCAUGUCGCUGUCGAAGAAGUGGUGCGUGGCACGAUGCUUGUGGUGGUGGUGACCGUGUCCGCCUCCACUGGUGACGGUUCCUCCAUGGUGAAGUCCCUUAGCUCACCGCCGUGCUCAGCGAACCAUGCCCACUGUGUCGAUUCGUCGAACACCACGUCCCGGCUUAUGUACACACGCCGGGUCGUCGGAUCGUAGACUCUGUAAGCCUUUGAUCCAGGCUCGUAGCCCAUGAACACCAUCUUGCGACUGCAAUCAUCAAGCUUGCGAAGAUGCAGUGUGUUUACCUUGACAUGAGCGAUGCACCCGAAGGUGCGGAGGUGUGCCACGUUGGGGGCUGGUACGGUGUCUUCCCUUGGAUGCUCUUGGAGGAGGAACGGUUGAGCAGGCACACGGCGGUGGUGACCGCCUCUCCCCAGAACACCCCAGGUAGCCCCUUCGGCUUCAGCAUGCUCCGGGCGAUGCCGACGACCGACUGGUUACGGCGCUCGAUGACACCAUUCUGUUGAGGGGUGAACGAUACCGUGAGCUCGCGCCGGACGCCGAGGUGAGCGCAGUACUCGAUGAAGUCAGUGGCGGCGAACUCGCCACCAUGAUCUGUCCGAAGCGCCAGGAGCUUCUUGCCGGUCUUCCUCUCCGCCGCCGCCUGGACACGCUUGAUGGCUUCUACAGCGGCAUCAUUGGUGGAGACACACCCACAUGUAGCGGGAGUAGUCGUCGAUGAGGAGAAGUAGCAGUUUUCUCUUGGUGUGGCUGGCUUGAUUGGCCCGCAGAUGUCGCCGUGCAGCAGCUGGAGCGCUUCGGUGGAACGUCACUAGGCCUGCUGAGGGAACGGUGCGCGCCGGUGCUUGCCGUCAGGCAGGCCUCACACACCUGGUCCACCUAUGUUAGCAGAGGCAGGCCACAGACAAGCUCCUCCCUUGCCAUCUUGCGGAGGGCGGCAAAGUGGAGAUGCCCAAAAUGCGAGUGCCACCGCCAUGCUUCGUCAUCGGUGCGCGCCACGAGGUAGACCGGGCAUGCCAGCUUGACGUCGAGCACGUACAGUCUCCCAGCCCAGCGGGGAACCUUGGCCAGCAGGCGCUGCUCCUCAUCGCGGAUACGCAUGACACUGUGCUCCACGAGCACCUGGAAUCCGCCUUCAUCCAGCUGCUCAACGGAGAUGAUGUUGGCGGUGAGCUGUGGUAGGUAGUAGACGCCGGUGAAGGAACGAUGUUCCCUGUUCUUGAGGGAGAACAGGACGGUCCCGCUCCCUUUGAUCCGCGCCACUGAACCAUCUCCGAAGUGCACCAAGCCCGUGACGGCGGUGUCGAGGUUGGAGAAGGCGGCGCGCGAUCCUGUCAUGUGAUUUGACGGUCCGGUGUCCAGGAUCCAUCGGUUCGGAUCUCGGUCCACCUCUUUGUCAAGGUUAGUGACGACCUUCCACUCGAUGAGGUGGAGCACAUGCGGCGGCGGUGGGGAAGAGUCCGCCGGCGUGAACUCGAUUGGUGGAUGCGCUGGUGGUGUGAGGGGAGUAGUCCCCUCCUAGGCCGUGUCGAAAGCGAGCAUUAGGGUAUGCUCCUUGUCCUUCUGGGCGACGUGAGCCUGAUGGGCCAGCUCCUCCUUGCGUCAGUCACUGGCCCAGUGGCCUUUCUUCCUGUAGCGCGGACAGGGAGAGUCUAGUGGCGGACGAGACUCGCCAGAGCCGCGCCCCCGUCCUCGGCCCCGCCCUUUGCCAUGUCCACCAGAGCCGGAGCCGUCGAUGAUGAGUUCACCGUGUCGCUCACCGUGUUGCUCCCGGUCUCCACGGCGUCGCUCACCGUGUUGCUCCCGGGCUCCACGCCGCUUGCACACCCGACGUCCACGUGAAGUCGUCGUCGAGCGCAUCGUCCGGGAAGGCAGCGGUGACGGCGGCAACUGGCCGCAACUGGGAAGAACAACUACCACGAGUGGUCGUUGAGGAUGUAGCUGAAGAUGCAAGCGCGCCACUUGUGGGAUGCCGUUGAGUACGACGACGUGGACUACGACGACGAUCAUGCUGCGAUGGACGCCAUCUGUAGUGGCGUACCGGCGGAGUAUGUCCCCAUACUGGUGGCCAAGUCGACAGCCAAGUUGGCCUGGGAGGCCAUCCGCACUCUCCGCAUCUGUGACGAUCGUGUGCGGAGAUCAACUGCCCAAACUCUCCGAAUGGAGUACGAGAACAUCACGCUCGACGCCGACGAGUCCGUCGAGGAGUUCGCCCUGCGCCUCACCAACAUCACGCAAAGGAUGGCAGCCCUCGGUGACCCAGAGCCAGAACCUCGCGUGGUGGCCAAGUACCUACGCGUCGUCUGCCCACGGUACAAACAACUCGUCAUCUCCAUCGAAUCAAUCCUUGAUAUCUCUCAGCUCUCCAUUGAGGAGGUCACCGGCCGCCUCAAUGUCGCUGACAACGUCGAGCCCGCUCCGGCGCACACCGUGAGUGGGAAAUUACUUCUCACAGAGGAGCAGUGGAUCGAGAAGUACAAGAAGAAGGGGCCAGACUCCUCUCGCGGCGGCUCCGGCUUCGGUGGUCGUGGCAAAGGGUGGGGCCGAGGACAGGGGCGCGGCUCUGGCGAGUCUCGUCCGCCACCGGACUCUCCCUGUCCGCGCUGCGAGAAGAAAGGCCACUGGGCCAGUUACUGCCGCAAGAAGAAGGACGAUCCGGCCCAUCAGGCCCAUGUGGCCCAGAAGGAGGAGGAGCAUACCCUAUUGCUCGCUUUCAACACGGCCUAGGAGGGGACUACUCCCCUCACCACCGGUGCAUCCACUAGUCGAGUUCACGCCGACAGAUUCUUCCCCACCGCCGCCUUCGGCUGAGCUCCACCUCAUCGAGCGGAAGGUUGUCCCUAACCUUGACAAAGAGGUGGACCGGGAUCCAAAUCGAUGGAUCCUGGACAUUGGAGCGUCAAAUCACAUGACGGGAUCGCGUGGCGCCUUCUCCGACCUCAACACCACCGUCACCGGCUUGGUGCGCUUCGGGGAGGGUUCCGUGGCGCAGAUCGAAGGGAGUGAGACCGUCCUUUUCUCCCUCAAGAACGGGGAACAUCGCUCCUUCACCGGCGUCUACUACCUGCCACAGCUCACCGCCAACAUCAUCUCCUUCGGGCAGCUAGAUGAAGGCGGAUUCUAGGUGCUCGUGGAGCACGGCGUCAUGCGUAUCCGCGACGAGGAGCAGCGCCUACUGGCCAAGGUUCCCCGCAGGGCUGGGAGACUGUACGCGCUCGACGUCAAGCUGGCACGCCCUGUCUGCCUCGCGGUGCGCACCGACGACGAAGCAUGGCGGUGGCACUUGCGUUUUGGGCAUCUCCACUUUGCCGCCCUCCGCAAGAUGGCAAGGGAGGAGCUUGUCCGUGGCCUGCCUCCGCUCACACAGGUGGACCAGGUGUGCGAGGCCUGCCUCGCCGGCAAGCACCUGUGCACACCGUUCCCUCAGCAGGCCCAGCGACGUUCCACCGAAGCGCUCCAGCUGCUGCACAGCGACAUCUGCGGGCCAAUCAAGCCGGCCACACCAAGCGGAAACCGCUACUUCUCGUGGAGGACUACUCCCGCUACAUGUGGGUGUGUCUCCUUCCCACAAAGGACGCCGCUGCAGAUGCCAUCAAGCGUGUCCAGGCGGUGGCGGAGAGGAAGACCGGCAAGAAGCUCUUGGUGCUUCGGACAGAUCGUGGUGGUGAGUUCGCCGCCACUGACUUCAUCGAGUACUGCGCUCACCUCAGCGUCCGGUGCGAGCUCACGGCGUCGUUCACCCUUCAACAGAACGGUGUCAUUGAGCGCCAUAACCAGUCUGUCGUCGGCACUGCCCGGAGCAUGCUGAAGGCGAUGGGUCUACCUGGGUGUUCUGGGGAGAGGCGGUCACCACCGCUGUGUACCUGCUCAACCGUUCCUUCUCCAAGAGCAUCCAAGGGAAGACACCAGACCAGCUCUGGACUGGCAGCGCCCCCAACGUGUCGCACCUCCGCACCUUCGGAUGCAUCGCCCAUGUUAAGGUAAACACACCGCAUCUUCGCAAGCUUGAUGAUCGCAGUCGCAAGAUGGUGUUCGUGGGCUACGAGCUUGGAUCAAAGGCUUACAAAGUCUACGAUCCGACGACCCGGCGUGUGCACAUAAGCCAGGACGUGGUGUUCAACGAAUCAACACAGUGGACAUGGUCCGCUGAGCACGGCGGCGAGCCGAGGGACUUCACCAUGGAGGAACUGACACCAGUGGAGGCGGACACAGUCACCACCACCAUAAGCACCGUGCCGCGCACCACUUAUUCGACAGCGACACGCUCUGCCUCACCAACAUCGCUCACAACUCCGUUGCCGAACCAGUACAUGGCGGGAACCCCAGCACAGGGCUCAGCACCCGCGACAUCGAGCCUGACCUCGUCGCACGGGCUCGACUUCGCCUCUCCACAAAGCUCCUCCCUCAGUGAGCAGCUUGACAACGACCACGACGGCGACGUCCCCCUCCGGUUUUGCCGCAUCGACAACGUAACGUAAUCGGACCGGCACCGACGCCCAGCCUCGCUGCACGUACGGGACCUGGAGGAGCAUCUGCUACUCGCCUGCGUCGCCGAGCCAACGAGUCUCGACGAGGCACUGAAGCACGAGUAUUAGCGCCAUGCCAUGCUCGACGAUAUGACGACGAUUGAGGCGAACAGUACAUGGGAGCUCGUCUACCCACCGCUGUCACACCCUGGUUUUUAAAAGAAAACCAGAGUCAUCGUAUGUGUGCUCAGGAAGUCCACACAUACAACAAAAGGAUAGAAAUAUUAGAAACAAUGUUAUAUAUAGCGGAAAACAUAUUUAUAAUAACACUUACAAACACCAGAGUACACGGAAACAGUAGCUAAAACUUCUUAGGCUCCAUUCUUCUCUGGGACGGCUGACUGGGGGCUCUGUACGCCAAGCACUCCUCAUAAGCUUCUAGAAAACUCUAUGACAUCUUUGUCCUUCUUCUGAGCAGCACUUUACUACACACUGGGGGUGGGGGGGAAAUAGCAAGGGUGGGUUCAUGUCGAACUCAACAAGUACAGACAGAAAGUAUAAUGACAUGCAAGGCUUAAUCAAAGAGAAAACACUGUUUAACUGCAGUUGAGCUUUUAAGUUGGUAAACUUUUAUUACAAUUCUUUUAUUAAAACAACCUAUUACUAAAUAUGAGUGAAGCAUCACAACCCUUAAUUAGAUGAAAGCAAUAUUAUUACUCGUCAUUAUAAUAAUAAUUAUUAUUAAGAUUACCGAGGUAUCCUGUACUCCAGGAGAAGUCGCGCCCGCGACAUAUGCAGGGCGACCGAGCGCGCGGGGGCCAGGCCCCGCGCGUCGCAGGGGGAGGACGCCCAACAGAUUAGGGACUAGAUUAGGAAAUAGAAUUAUAAUUAGCCUUAUAUUUAGGAGAGUUUUACUCCAACUAGUAUUCAGCCUCUGGCUAUAUAUAUCUGUAAUCAGGACUUUGAGAUAUCAAGAAAGAAUUGUUACCCUAAUCUCUCUCUUCCCCAACGCUCUCAAGCCCGAGCCGCCGUGAGGGGUAUAACCUCCGCGAUCGGAAGACAACGGCCAGAGACUACGAACUCCGUAGUCGAGGGCCACCUACCCUAGAUCACCAGGCCCUUGACAGCUACAGAUUUCCAUCAACCAGGAGGAGCCAGGAUGAAGCACCAGUCCGCACUUAGAUUAGGAUGCUGGAAGAGAAACUUCGUUAUUUUUCUGUCUGCUCUUCUUUUUUAGGAAACUCCUGUACCUGCACUUACUGUUUUGUUUCCUAUAUACUAUAAUGAAAAGGCGGAGCACCUGCCGUUGUUCCUUAAAGAACUUGUUGUCAUGUGCGGAAAGACGUACACAAGGCGCAGGCGCGCCCGCGACGUACGCCGCGCGGCUGAGCGCGCAGGGCGCGCGACCCAGCAGCUCGAUGGGGCAACUUCCAGUGGCUAGAAAUCAGGGAUUAGAUUGGAGGUUGUUUUGGUUAGUCUAUAAUUAGGGGAUUUCCCUUCCAUAGUUUGUUGGGCCAUUGGCUAUAUAUUCCUGUAACCAGGGAAGAAUCAAUCAAGCAAGAAUUAAUCUCCUAUCUCCUUCUUCCCCGCGUCUCCUAAGCCCAGCCGGCUGAGAGGGGUAUAACCUCCGCACUGGAAGACUCUGCCGGAGACUACGAGCUUCGUAGUCGAGGGCCAGCUACCCUAGAUCACACUGCCCUUGACAACCUGGUAUCACGGUCUCGUCGAUCCUCUCCCACCCGCUCCUCCAGUUCCUCUUCCACUGCCGCCCACCACCAGUUAGCCGCCGCGCCACCGUCACCCACCUCGUCCGCGUCCAUCGCCCUAGCGCCCAGCAUGACGGAGCCCUCCGCAGCCGACCUCCUGGCGGCCAUCAAGGCCCUCACCGAGGACAUGGCGACCAUGAAGGCCGAUAUGGCCUCGCUGAAGAAGGAGAAGUCGGAGUCGUCCGCCGGCGGCGGCGGCGGCGGCAACCGGCACGCGGAAGGUCAGCACACUGACUACCCGCCCAAGCACAAGAAGUGGGACUUCCCACGCUUCGACGGCACCACCGACCCCAUGCUCUUCCUCAACAAAUGCGAGGCAUAUUUCCGCCAACACCGCACCAUGGCGGAGGAACGCGUGUGGCACGCUUCGUACAACCUCGAGGGCGUCGCACAGCUGUGGUAUAACCAGCUCGAGGAAGACUCUAGCACGCCCACCUGGGCGCGCUUCAAAGAGUACCUGCACCUGCGGUUCGGGCCACCGCUCAGGUCGGCGCCGCUGUUCGAACUCGCCGAGUGCCGGCGCACGGGCACCGUCGAAGAGUACUCCAACCGUUUUAAGGCGCUUCUACCUCGCGCAGGUCGCCUGGACGAGGAGCAGCGUGUCCAGCUCUACACCGGCGGCCUCCUUCCGCCGCUCAGUCAUGUCGUUCGCCUCCACAACCCCGACUGGCUCGCCGUGGCGAUGAGUCUCGCGUGCCAGGUCGAGCUGAUGGAGGUCGAGCGGCCGCCGCCACCCGCGCCACGUGCUCCUGCGCGGGGCAUUCUGCCGGCGCCCGCGCCCCGCGCUGCCCUGCCGCCCCCACCGCCACCACUGGCCUUGCCGGCUCCGCUAGCAGCCGCGCAGCCGGGCCGCGGGGACGGCCGGCGUCUCUCGCCCGAGGAGAUGGCUGAGCGUCGCCGUCUCGGUUUCUGUUUCAACUGCAAUGAGAAAUAUACUCGCGGCUAUAACCGUUUUUGCAGGCGCAUUUUCUUCCUGGAAGGCGUCGAGAUUGACGACGCCCCGGACGACGUGGCAGCUGCCGAGCCCGACGCCGAGGCUCCCUGUUUCUCUCUCCAGGCUGUGGCUGGGGUCCCUGUGGCGAGUACCAUGCAGCUCCGCGUGUCCCUCGGCGCCGCGACCCUCGUCGCUCUCCUCGACUCUGGCAGCACGCACAACUUCAUCUCGGCGGCAGCAGCCCGGCGUUCCGGCCUUCCCCUGCGUCAGCGGCCUCGCCUCACUGCCUUGGUCGCGAACGGCGAGCGCGUCACCUGCGACGGUGUCAUCCGCGACGCUCCUCUGCUCAUCGACGGCGUCACGUUUCCGACCGACCUCUUCGUCAUGCCGCUGGCCGGGUACGACGUCGUCCUGGGGACGCGGUGGCUGGGCGUGCUGGGGCCCAUCGUCUGGGACCUCGGCAGCCGGCGCGUGACGUUCCAGCACCUGGGGCGCCCUGUCUCCUGGACAGGCAUCGCCUGCCCUGCGGUGCCGACACUGGGUGUCACAUCAGAGGUCGGGCCGCUCCUCGACGCCCUGCUGCACGCGUACGGGGGGCUCUUCGCAGACCCGACAGGUCUGCCCCCCAAACGCGCGCACGACCACCGCUUCACCCUGAAGCCCGACGCCCAGCCCGUCGCUGUCCGGCCAUAUCGGUACCCAGCAGCGCACAAGGACGAGUUGGAGCGGCAGUGCGCCGCUAUGAUCGAGCAGGGUAUCGUCCGACGCAGCGACUCGCCCUUCUCAUCGCCGGUUCUCCUCGUCAAGAAGCCGGAUGGGUCGUGGCAUUUCUGCGUCGACUACAGGGCGUUCAAUGCGCUCACCGUCAAAGACGCCUUCCCGAUCCUGGUGGUUGACGAGCUCCUCGACGAGCUCCACGGCGCCAAGUUCUUCACCAAGCUCGACCUCCGGUCCGGGUAUCACCAGGUGCGGAUGAGGCCGGAGGAUGUGCACAAGACGGCGUUCCGCACCCACGACGGCCUCUACGAGUUCCUGGAGAUGGUGUUCGGGCUGUGCAAUGCCCCGGCGACGUUCCAGGCCUUGAUGAAUGACGUGCUCCGGCCGUUCCUCCGCCGCUUCGUCGUGGUAUUUUUUGAUGAUAUUCUCAUUUACAGCAGGACAUGGGCCAAUCACCUCCGCCACCUUCGGGCCGUCCUCGACGAACUGCAACGCCACCAGCUCUUCGUCAAGCGCUCCAAAUGUUCUUUUGGCGCGCCCUCUGUCGCCUACCUCGGCCAUGUCAUCUCCGCGGCGGGCGUGGCCAUGGAUCCGGCCAAGGUGCAGGCGAUCCACGACUGGCCGGCUCCGCGAUCGGUGCCGGCAGUCCGCGGCUUUCUCAGCCUUGCGGGAUACUACCGCAAGUUCGUCCACGGCUACGGGGCCCUUGCCGCGCCACUAUCGGCGCUCCUCAAGAAGGAGGGCUUCUCCUGGGACGACGCAGCCGCGUCGGCGUUCGCGGCCCUCAAAGACGCUAUCACGUCGGCCCCCGUCCUCGCCAUGCCGGACUUCACCAAGCUGUUCACCGUUGAAUGUGACGCGUCGACCGUCGGGUUUGGGGCGGUCCUAACUCAGGAGGGCCACCAUCCAGGCCGUGCGGCACUGGCGGCCGUACCUCUGGGGGCGGAGCUUCACCGUCAAGACAGACCACUACAGUCUGAAAUAUCUCCUCGACCAGCGCCUCGCCACGAUUCCCCAGCACCAUUGGGUCGGCAAGCUCUUGGGCUUCGACUUCUCGGUGGAGUACCGCUCCGGCGCCACUAACGUCGUCGCCGACGCCCUCUCUCGCCGCGACACCGAAGAGGGGGAGGCCAUGGCGAUCUCGGCGCCCCGCUUUGACCUCGUCGACCGCCUGCGCCAUGCCCAGGCCACCGACCCAGCCCUGGUCGCCCUCUACGCCGAGGUCCGUUCGGGCGCCCGCGCUGCACCAUGGGCGCUGGUGGACGGCAUGAUUACCUACGACGGCCGCCUGUACAUCCCGCCCACGUCGCCGCUUCUCCAGGAGGUCGUGGCCGCCGUCCACAACGAUGGUCACGAGGGCAUCCACCGCACCCUCCAUCGCCUCCGGCGCGAUUUCCACUUCCCCAGCAUGUGCCGCAUCGUGCAGGCGUUCGUGCAGGCCUGCAGUACCUGCCAGCAGUACAAGUCCGACCACCUCAGGCCAGCGGGACUGCUGCAGCCGCUACCGGUGUCGUCCGCCGUCUGGGCUGACAUCGGCAUCGACUUCAUCGAGGUGCUGCCCAAGGUGCAGGGCAAGACGGUCAUCCUCUCCGUGGUCGACCGCUUCAGCAAGUACUGCCACUUCAUACCGCUGGCGCACCCCUACACAGCGGAAUCUGUCGCCCAGGCGUUCUUCGCCGACGUCGUCCGUCUACAUGGCGUUCCGCAGUCUAUCGUCUCGGACCGCGACCCGGUGUUCACGUCCGCAUUCUGGCAGGAGCUUAUGCGGCUCACGGGGACAAAGCUCUUCAUGUCGUCAGCCUUCCACCCGCAGACGGACGGCCAGACCGAGGCCGCCAACCGCGUCAUCGUCAUGUACCUGCGCUGUUUCUCCGGGGACCGUCCUCGCCAGUGGCUCCGAUGGCUGCCCUGGGCGGAGUACAUAUACAACACCGCCUACCAGUCCUCUCUCCGCGACACGCCGUUCCAGGUGGUCUACGGCCGGGAUCCCCCGACCAUUCGCUCGUACGAGCCUGGCGAGACCCGAGUGGCCGCGGUGGCUCAGGAGAUGGAGGACCGCGCCGCCUUCCUUGACGACGUCCGCUAUCGCCUAGAGCAGGCUCAGGCGGCGCAGAAGCGUAUCUACGACCGACACCAUCGCCCGGUGUCCUUCCAGGUCGGCGACUGGGCCUGGCUGCGUCUACAGCAGCGUGCUGCGGCGUCCCUCCCCAACGCGCCCAAGGGGAAGCUCAAGCCUCGCUAUGUCGGGCCGUAUCAGGUCCUGGAGUUGAUCAAUGACGUGGCUGUCCGCCUCCACAUCGGUGUCCUCCGGAAGUUCGUCGGCGCCCCACCUGCAGCACCGCCUCCACUGCCUCCCCUCCUGAACGGGGCUGCUGUUCCUGCUCCCGCCAAGGUCAUCAAGGCACGGAUCGCUCGGGGUGUGCGUCAGCUGCUCGUCGAGUGGCAGGGCGAGCCAGUGUCUGCUGCUACUUGGGAGGAUCUGGAGGAUUUCCGCUCUCGGUUUCCGACCUUUCAGCUCGAGGACGAGCUGGACUUCGAGGCGGGGAGAGAUGUCAUGUGCGGAAAGACGUACGCAAGGUGCAGGCGCGCCCGCGACGUACGCCGCGCGGCUGAGCGCGCAGGGCGCGCGACCCAGCAGCCCGAUGGGGCAACUUCCAGUGGCUAGAAAUCAGGGAUUAGAUUGGAGGUUGUUUUGGUUAGUCUAUAAUUAGGGGAUUUCCCUUCCAUAGUUUGUUGGGCCAUUGGCUAUAUAUUCCUGUAACCAGGGAAGAAUCAAUCAAGCAAGAAUUGAUCUCCUAUCUCCUUCUUCCCCACGUCUCCUAAGCCCAGCCGGCUGAGAGGGGUAUAACCUCCGCCCUGGAAGACUCUGCCGGAGACUACGAGCUUCGUAGUCGAGGGCCAGCUACCCUAGAUCACACUGCCCUUGACACUUGUUAAGUGCCUGUGUUCUUGCUUGUGAUAAUCUGGUUGUAAAGAUUUUUUGUUCCUUCUGGGUAAUAUAAUCUUGAAGUGUGAAUGAAUGGGAUAUAUUUUGCCAGAAUUCAGUCUGGAAUUUAUAUUAUGUUCUGCUGAUGCUAGCCAAAAGAGUGUGAUAAAAAUAUAUCUGGUAGAAGUUCACUCUCUGGUUUGACCAUGAGUGUUGUGUUUUCUAAUAAGAACACUGAUUUCUCAUAUCAUCAGUGUAGAAAGGACACAGAGGGAGGGGAGGGGUCAUUCAUAUUGACGGUAAAUUUGUUUAUGCCUCCUUCUUUUGUAUGUCAAUGGAGUGGAACAUUAUCUUCUAUAUGUAUGUCCUGUAUUGCCCUUUUUCCUUGGUACAGGCCGUUUCACUUGUUUUUUGGAAUUGUUUAUUUAUAGAUAGAUGAGAUGCUUGAUUAUGCGUUUUCAGUUGACUUGCUUCUGAAACUUAGCUGAUGGCAAGUUUCAAUUUCCAUGCAUUUUGAGCGGCAAACUAAAAGCUGAAGCUGUUCUGAAAUAUUUUGUUCUAGUAUUCAAUCAGUUCCAGUGCUAAUGUGUUUGCAUAUGUCUGUGUGGUAUUUUUCUGCUUCUUUUGUUUCAGAGUAUCUUGCGCUUGAUCUGUGCAGCCGUGAUUGGUUAGGGCCUCUGCAACUUGGCGCCAUGCUAAAGGAGUACACUUUUCAUUUUCUCUGAAUUGCUCUAGCUUGAUUUGUUUGCAGUUUCACCUUUUCAGAUGCAGUGAUCCUAAAAAAAAACAUUUCUUUAACCAUGACAAGGAUACAUACACAAUUUGUUGAACUUGUUCAUUGAUCAUUUUACUGUUAUUUUCAAUUUCUCGCACGCCAUUGUGACCAUAAGGAGUGCAUUGAAGUCAUACAAGGUAGAAGAAAAGGUUAGUAUUUUAAGAAAUUAUAAACAUCUUGUGUUGACAGUAAAUUCUCAAAUUACAUUUGAAAUACCAAUUAUAUGUUAAUGAUACUGGACAAAUUUAAAAUAUGUCACUCCUUGACAUUCUUUAUUUUUUAAAAAAAUAAUUCUUUAAUCUAGUAGCUAUUUACUGCAAAUAAUAUAGAUAUGUCCUUCGCCGUUCGCUCCUUUCCAAACAGAUGAUCGACCAUGGAAUGGAAUUGGGCUUUGCUCUUCUUCUCUGCUAUUGGUGGAGGAUUCAAGGGAGAUGGAACCGAAUCGCUUGAACCUCUCGUAUGGAGUCAGUUACCCCUAAUCUCCUAUACAACUAAAAAGAACAAAAAAAUACCACCAAAUGGUGCGACAUUUUUUGGGUCGCUUCCACCUCCCCUCCAUGUGAACUCACCUAUGCAGGAGGUGGAAGGGUAUGAAAUGAAAUAAAAAAAUAAGAAAAGAUUCCUGAUGUAAAUUUACAAUAGAGAAUAAUAUAUAAUCAAGGAGGUAGAAGGGUGCAAAAUGAAAUAAAGAGAAAGAAAGAAUUCCUGAUAUAAAAUUUCAUUUAUGACACAAAAUCUCGGUCCCUCAUCUAAAGAAAAGAAAAUAAUCGCACCCCCGAAUCCUGGGACGUCGCUCUCGCCCUCGCCCGUCCUCGUCCUGGGACGUCGUCCUCGCCCUCGACCGUCCUGGGAUGUCGCCCUCACCCGACGUUGCACCUUGCCCUCGCCCUUGAAGCUAGGACGUCGCACCUCGCCCUCGCUAAUUGCCCGUCCUUGAAGCCGUCGUUGAUCACCGCAUCUCAUCUGCAAUCCAGCACCGGUUAAAUUUGUUGGCAGCGCGUGCGUAACUGCGUUUCCUUCCUUCAUUUCCUGGGAGCGGGCAGCAGCCCUGGCCAGUCCUCGGCCAGCAGCAGCCAGUCCCGUUCACCUAGCAGCCAUCCAUGCCUGGGCACAACCCUAAAACGAGGUGAGUUAGACGACUAAAAUCAUGUUGAUUGGAGUUACAUAUACUUUCAAAUCUUGGUGCAUAUGUUCAUAACAAGCAUAUGGUUAUCUGUAAGUGGAGAAAAAAGAUUACAUGGAUCGUACAAUGGUUUGUUCUAAGUAUGUGUGAGUGUAAGGAUUUAUACUGAGAUUAAUAAUACAUGUAUAGUGAAAAAUAAAUAUGUACAUAAAACAAUUGAAAUAAUUUUAUUUUUUAAAUAUGACAUUGCCCAUAAUAUCUUGGUCACUUGAGUGUAAGGAUUGAUACUGAGAUUGUGCUAGCUAUUUUUGAGAACACAGCUUCACCAAUAAAGUAAGGUAUGGAAUAAUGAAAUACAACUAAAUUUACCUUGUAUAGAUCAUCCAAAGAUUUCCAUCGAGUAUAAAUACCAAGCUCACCAUGUAUUCGAAGAUAAUAAUUACCAAUCUCUAGGAAGAAAUCUUUGAAUGAAAAAAGGCCUCUUAUAGGAUACAGUAUCAAAUGGAUGCAUGAAAAUGGAAGCUUACCCUUAGAUGAACAUGCUCCAAAGAGAGGAUGAAAAUUGUUAGUUUAACCAUUUUAAUGGUCACACUUCCACUAAGAUCUAUAUUGAUGACACUCAAACACUCAUUUUAAAUCUUUCUACAUAUGGGUCCUAUUGGAAUUAGUUGCAUAAACUCUAAUCCUGUACAUAUAAAUAAAAGAAAACAAAACAAAAGACUUGUGAGAUAGCGAUCUGCAUGCGCAUUACCAACUGAAGAAUACACAAAAUGUAGUCUAGAUAUGUCAGACCUCACUUAUGCUAAUCUCCUUGAGACAAAAAGCAAUAUAAUUCAUGUGUAUCUCCUGAAACAAUGAAUUGCAGCACCUGCAUGCACCAAAAAAAGGAGUCUUGAUAUAUCAGCCCUCACCUAUGGUAAUCUCCUGAGACAAAAAAUGUAAUAUCACAGUUUGCAUUUGACAUUGUUAGCAUAAACUAAUUGAUGAUCAGGUCUUUGAUACUCUCAGUCUGGAUGUCUAAGUAAAAUGCCAAGAAUAAAUGUUCUCUGUGAUCUCUUGAUUACCAUCUUUUUCUCAUAGGAAAGAAAAGGAAAGGGUAAUAAGCUAAAACUCAUUCCCAUCAAGAUCAUAGUAAAUAGUUGUGAUUAUCCAAUCAAUAAGCGGCAUCAAAACAUCCUUGAUUCGUGAGAUAUCUUAGCAGCGGAUGUGUCCAUUCGUGCAUAGGGUAAUUAUGGAUAUGAAAAGAUCUAUUCGGUCCAUAGUAAAGUCAAUGGAGACGAAUAUUCUUUCCAGCCAUUGCAAACCUUCAAUCAAAACGCUUAAUACACAAAAAGUAAGGAUAUCAAAUUUUGUGCACAUAUUUAAGUGAAUGAAAAAUCUCUCACACACAACAACAAAUUACCUUGCAAUGAAGACAAUUCUGAAUUUAUGGGAAGCUUUGCACCUUUGUGUCACCUUUCUCGUCAAAGACACAUCUACAUGAGAAAUAUGUUGCUUUUCUAUCAGACAGAAUACAUGCCUCUGUCUAUCAAAAAAAAACAAAGAUUGUCACAUAGCCUGCGCCGCCCAGUGAGUAAACAAAAGAGAUAAAGUUCUGCAUGAAAUAUUUACCUGUUCUAUAACAGAAAUUAGUUCCAUGGCAGUAGCUUUAAACUGCCUAGAACUAGAAAGAGCGAUAAGAUCUAGGUCUUGCUCUGCCUGCUCCAAUUCUAAAAGUUUACAGACAUAUUAGUAGAGAUGUAAAAGUCUAUUUUAUAACAAAUAAAUUCAAAGAAGAAAAAAUAGAUGGAUAAUUACAUCAUCCUUUAGGAAAGGUUCUCUUUAAGAUACAUUAACCUUUAAGGUAUAAGGUAUUGCUUGAGAAGAAAAUGUACUUAUAUGUACUAUGCUAUAAAAGCCAGAAACUUAAACUACAAUGAACAGAUAACAGAAAGAACAAACACAAGUUUCUUUUAUUCAGGAAGUAAAUGCAUGUCCACAAUGCCCAGCAAUUUUGCUAAUAUAGAAAAAGUUGAAGCCACAGUCUUUAUCUCACCAGGAGACAGCAAAGAACCAACAACUGUUGAAGCCGCAUCUGACCUUGUUGUUGCACAUGGACACCUCGGUCCCUGGUCACGUCGGGGUAGAGCUCCUGCUCGUGAGAAGCAAAGCUUGCUGGAGCCGCGUCGCGUCGCGGCGCCGGAGUUCUUGAGCACGGACCAGCCGAGGCUCGCACAGACGCACACGCCCGACCCACUGGAGUGUGCGGUGCAUGGCUCCUUCACGCGGGCACUAGGGCGGAGAGUAGCCGAGGCAGACACGGCCGGCGGAGAGGGACGGUGGCGCGGACGCGCGAGGAGUAGCAGAGGGACACCAGGUCGCCACGCCCGUGCAGAGAUGAGCGGCGGCAGGGAGUCGUCGUGUUGCUGCACAAGGAGGAGCGGAGGGACGCCGGGUCGGGAGAUCCACGUUGGAAAGCUCCGGGGAGGCAGCUCCGCCGGGCCCUGUGGCAUGGAGCAGCGGUCAGGGAAGAAGAAGCAACGUGGAUUUGUUACAACCGGCGGCAGGUACCCACCUUGAUCGGACGGACAGGAGGAAGUGCGGGCGUGGAGAUUGGGUAGUGGACAUCUGGUGACAUGGCAGCCGCGGCCAAUGAUUGUAGAUUAAUAGUACAGCAUGGAUCUGACAUAGUGACAUGGAUGAAAGAGAGAGGAGAUUGCUUGUGUGGACUGUGGAGUAUGGUUGGCCGGCCGGGAGUUAGGUAUGGAAGUAAAUGCGGGGCAAGAGCUCCUUCCGGCGUACAGUAGGCCGGACUUCCCUCUCUCCUUUCUGGCCUUCGCCCUAUCCUUCCUCCCCUGCCCGCUGCCCGCGCCCCCAUCCUGCCCGGCGCUCAUGCAUCGACGAGCGCGGCCUUCCUGUCCAAGCUCCACGCGCUCGCUGCCGCGCUAUGCUCCCGCGUCGGUCUCGGCGUGACGUCGUGUUCGUGCUCGCGCCCACGGGCGUCCGUGCUCUACUCCACGCCCAUGUCCGUCGGCGCCGUCGUGGCACCCACCAACCCGUCCCUCACCGCCGCCGAGGUCUCCUGCCUGCUCGCGCUCUCCAACCCCUGAGUCACAUCUGCCGUCGCGGGCACCAGAGGCAAGCUCCCUGCCGGGCUCCGCACCGUGCUGCUCGACUCCCCGAUGUUCAUCUAGUUCCUGCAGGAGCUCGACAAGGACGCGGUGGCGAUGACUCGACAAAGACGCGGUGGCGAUGACUCGACAAGGACGCGGUGGCGAUGACUCGACAAGGACGCAGUGGCGAUGGUCCUGGUCCGGCAGUCGGAGUGUCAGACUCGGCGGCGGUGCUGUACUUAUUAUUAUACAUAUUUCCAAUUGGCAAAACGGGUAUGGUCUUAUGGAGUACAGCCGGUUUCUGCCCCGCUGUUGGAGACGAAGAAUGCGCGUGACUUGAAUCCGUGGGCCGUCUUUCAUGGGGCGUUGAAGUGACGAUUGUUCAUCCAGAAACAGAGGCUGCCAGGGGAGCUCUGGGUCUGAGGCCCUUUUGUAAUGAAGGUAGGUCCGUACCACCAUGCAAUUUAGUUUAGUAGUAAAACAAUAUGCUAUAAUCCACUUUGCUCAUAACAUUGCUUUUAAGAAGACCUUGUCCUGAUAGCUAUAGUUUCAACGAAUUCACAUUCACGGGGUAUUGUAUAUUCAGAUUCAGAUAACUUGGGUAUGGCCACCCUAGUAAUGUGCUAAGAGAGUUUUAUAAGUUACAAGAGUUUCAGCAUUUACAGUGUCUAUAUUUGUUUCUUCGGCCACCAGAUAAAAGAUGCCACCAACCUUGCACUUGUUUACAGAAAAUGUAAAUAAACUUAACAAAAAGGAAAAAAAAAGGAGAGAGAAUUUUGUUGGCAUUCUUGUGUGGUCCCUUCAUGUGGAUGUUGUAUGUCACUUUGAGCUAUAUACAUAUGAUUCAAUAUCAGUGGUCUAAUUUGAAUUUGUUAGUGCAUUCCUGAUGGCUGUUUUUACUCGAGCUUCAGUGACACUUUGUCCCUUAUGGGCGCUAGCAUAGGUUACCUAGGCGAGGAGUAUACAUCUGAGAUUUUGGAUAGUGAAGAAUGGUUGAGGACAGGAGAUCUUUGUUACAUUGACCAAGACAGAUUCGUUUACAUUGUGGACCGGCCGAAAGAGUUAAUUAAGUACAAAGGCUACCAGUUGGUAUCCACCAGGAGAUCUAGUGUUAGAUUUUUUUCUAAUCAGCAUUUGCAUGACACAUCACUCCAUCAGAGCAUCUGAUCUGUUACGGACUUACAGUGUCAGUUUGCCUUCUCUCCUGAAUUCUGAUGGAAUCUGUUUCAUUCAGGUGCCUCCUGUAGAACUUGAAAGCCUACAUUCAGGUGCCUCCUGUAGAACUUGAAAGCCUACUUCAGAUACACACAGAUAUUGAUGAAAUCGCAGUUGUCCCGUAGGUGUAUACAUACAUACACCCAGAAAACUUGCGAAAUCAACUCUGCAGUACACUAAUAGAAAGUUUCCUUCAAAAGAGAAAGACACUAGCUAAUGGAAUAAUUCAUGCUAACUAUUCUUCAUUAUACAGAUACUCUGAUGAUAAGGCUGGAGACUGCCGACAGUGUUCAUCGUCAGACGCCCAGGAAGUCACUUGCACAAAUCACACAUCAAAGAAUUUGUCGCCAAACAGGUUUGCCGCUGGCUCAACACAAACAAUUUUGCAAGAAUAGUAACCACUGAUGUUUUUUUUUGUAAGAGAAGAUGGAGCUCUGUUGAGUUGCUGGCCUAAUAACCCUUAUCAUUUGUCAUGCAGGUCCUUGUGGAUUCGUCAAUAAAGAAAAUGCGGCGGGUUAAGAUUGUCCGGCCAAGCUAGCAUUGCGGCAACAUAUUAGCUCCAAGCUGUAGCAUGUGUAUGUGGUGUAAUUUUUUGUUGGAUAAUAAGUAGGUAGAUCAGUUGCAAUGUCAUGUCAGUGUGUCACGCCCUCACCAUGACUGUAUAAAAGUACUAGCAGAUAUCACAUUUGUAAUCAGUUUAAGACAUUGAGAGUAAUUUAGUAAAUGUGAAUUUUAAAUUAUAUGCAGUGUGUAAAUACCUGUAGAUUGAGAUUGUGAUGAAUUUGUAGUUGUACCCUGGAAUAUUUUUUUCUUAGCCUCUGCAAAGUGCAAACGUAUCUCCAAUCUUAUCGUAAUUUUGUUUUAAUAGUGGAACUCCGAGCAUCAAAAAUUAAAUUCAAAUAUUUGCCACAUGUAUCGAUAUUCGUUCGGUUUGGAAAAGAAAGAGGCAAAACAACACUGAUAACAAAUUUAGGUGAGAAAGACAGAGAUGAUAUGAUGAAUGCAUAACAGUCUGUGAUCAUCAAGAAAGACUGCACAAGAAUUAAGAUGGUGCUGGAGAAUACAGAGAUGGAUAGAUCGGAGAUUGGUGUCACUCUUGUUGAAUCGAAAAGCCUCAUGCGCCUGCUGCGGGAUUGGAGAAUAUUCCAAGUAAGUGCUUGAUGUUAUCGGUGUGUGUUGGUGUGGAUUACGGUGGAAUUUUAGUUCAAGUUCUACUCCAAUCCACCUUAACACAUGUGGAUUGAUGUGAAUCCGACUACAUUCCAAACAAGGCCUAAAGAGAGAUGAAAACAAAGUAGCAAAUUCUUUAGCUAGUUUAGCUAAGCGAUGUAAAUUUUCAGAAGCUAGAUGGGGAUCAGCGCAUGCGAGCGCCAAGGAUCUGCUUAUGGCUGAUUGUAACAUUGUGUUACCUAAUUAAUAAAACCCUCUCUUUACUCGAAAAAAAAAAGAACGCAUAACAGUCUCUAAUAGGAACUGCAGAGUUAAGUUAUUCAUUCAAUUCAGGAUUGGUACUCUUCUUUACCACCAGCGUUUUCAACCCCUCAGAAAUGCUAAAAGAUGAUUUAAUUAUCAAGCGCAAAGGCAACUAAGUGGAACUUUAAAACAACAAAAAUUAACCAUCUUCCAUAAUAGUCGAUUGAUCGGUCUGGAACCAAAUUUGACAGAUCUCUCGAUGAGAGAAAAUGUACCGGUAAAUCAAGAACUUCAACAAAAUAGAAGCAAGCGGCAUUCUCUGCAGCAGUAAAUCAAGAACACCAAGAAAAGAAAAUAGAAGCAAUCAGUAUUCUCUGCAGAAUAGAUAUCCAUCCUAAGCUUUUCAAUCCAGUGAACCCAAAAGCUGGAAGUGCCCUCCGAGCCUGCGGGUCUCUUGGCUUUGGAUUCAGUAGCGGAGCAGCAGCAGCCUCAACGUGUAGACGCCACCCGGCAACCUUGCCGUCGUACUCGCGUGCACCAACGAAGCACCCAUGCCGCCGUCUCCGUCCGACCCCGACAUCGACCCGCGCAACGGCUACAGCGCGGCCAUGAGGAUGUUCUGCAACCUGCGUUCUCCGGCGCCGCUACCUCCGCCGGAACCCCCGCUCUCCUUCCCGUCCUUCGCCUUGUCCUUCCCAGUGCUCGUCCCUAUCCCACCCGGCGCUCGUCGACGCUAGCACUGGCGCCGCCGUCCCAUUCCUGGCCUUCCUGUCCAGGACCCGCGCGCUCCGCGCCCACGUCCACGGUCCACCUCGCCCCGGCCAACCCGGCGCUCACCGCCGCCGAGGUCUCCCACCUACUCGCGCUGGACCCGGGGCGGUGCUGUACUCGUCGGGCACCACCGGGUGUCCGGAUGCAGCAAGGCGGCCGUGUUCACCCGCCGCAACCUCAUGCCCUGCACUGUCACGUGGGCGCCGGCGCCGUUGAUCGUUGAACAAGGAGAGCUAGGAGAGUGAAGCAGACAGAGAGCAAUAAAUGAAUCCUACCCGCAAUAAAUUUGAUGCACAGUGCAAAUCCACGUGUAUUUCCAUGUGAGCAGAUUAAGCUUAAUCGUGAGCCAGCCUAUACACGUAAGCGGGCGGAGCACGAAUCUCUGAAUAGAAUUGAACGGCAUGCGUGAGGGUGGGUACGUGCCGCGGUUGUUACCCGAAUAUUUUCGUCUUCCGAAAAUAUUUUCUCUUUGAUGAAUUAAGUUACAAAAACUAUAGCUGAUACAUAUGAUUUAACUAUUUCUAUAUAUUGUUGAUCGUGAAUUUUGCUACAGACACUUAAAUGGUUUAUGUCUAUAUGGAAUAGACCAAAAGCCACACAUAUUAUUUAUAUAGUCAGUAUAUCACUUUUUUUAAGUUUUUGUGAAUUUUUUUCACGAGACGUAGUAUUACCCAUGAGACACGCACUAAUAUUUACAUAUAAUACUCAAAUGUCUGACAGGAUGGUACAAAGAUGUGGUGGAACUUAUUUGUGAAUUUACUGACACACGAAAGAAAUUGAUAUCGGAGAUUUCUUCCUGCUAAUAUUAAAUAUUAUCUCGCAUCACGAAAAUGUCUAUAAAGUAGAGUUUGUAAGCCUGCGACGCCGUUAGGAAUGGCAACGGAUCCGUACCCGAUGGGUACUGGCCACCCGUACCCGCACCCACCAAGUCAAAACCUAUUCCAUCGGGUUACCCGCGAAAGCAGACGGGUAAGAAAUUCAUUCCGUACCCGCACCCGACGGGUAAUUCUUACCCGACGGGUAUUCCAUACCCGAAAAUAUACCCGAGUUCAACAGAAAUAUAACAACUUUUAGCAAGUUAAAUAUCACAACUUCUAGGAAAUUAAACAUAAUAACUUCCAGCAAAUUAAUAACGGCACUAGUAGCACACCAGCCGCUCAACACUUCCCACGUUCAGCCAAUCAGUUCAUGGGCUAUAUGGGCUAAAUUGCUUAGGUUGCUUACUCAUUUUGCGGGUAUUUCUUACCCACGGGUACGCGGGUAUGGGUACUUGAAAGCCCAAGUUUGGUUUUGGUAAUUAAUGACACCAAGUUGCUAAUGCCUUGUGUUUAAGUGAUUUGAGUUAGGCAUACCAACACAUGUGAUGAAGGUGCAUGGUGGCAUGGAAAGGUGGCCACAUGAUCACAAAGGGAUGAAGCAUAAAGUGAAGAUCAUGGUGAUAAACGAGGAGCAAAGUUAUCAAGGCAAAGGUAUAAACAUAGGGUUUUACUUUUGCCGGUCUAAGAUGAGUAGAGAAGUGAUUGACUGGAUUUAGGAUAGAUAGCUGACUAUCAAGAGGGGAAAUCACGGUCAUCUCUCGAAUCAAGUGCUACUAGGUCCAUAUCUUGAGCAUAUGCAUUAGGAUCUAGUAAAGUGCUAACUUAACUCCUUUGGUGAAAAUGUUUGUGAAAAGCUAACACACGUGCACUUUGGUGGUGGACACUUGUCGGUGUUAGCACAUUUACAAAGGAGGUGGAGUUCCUAGGGUUGAGAGGGGUGUGGUUGCGAGGCGGGAUUCGGCGCUUUUGAGAAAAUUAAGUGUAUAUUUUCUAUUGCGCCGGUGGGAAAUUUGGAGAAGUCGCGGAAGUGUUUCUCAGUUGAAAACACUCACCGGACGCUCAGUGUUGAGGCACCGAACGCUGGCCCGAGCGUCCGGUGUGCAGUCAGAGCUUGACUCUGCUAGGGUUGAGCACCGGACGCACUCUGAGAGCGUCUGGUGGUUAGCGUCCGGUGCGAGGGGUUUUUGCAACCCUCUCUGCGCACGAGUCCGGUGAGCACCGGACCGUCCGGUGCCCAGCGUCCGGUGAGGUCGCGAGUUUGACAAACUCUCUGCGCAUGAGUCCGGUGUGCACCGGACGCGUCCGGUGUGGACCUACAGAGCGUCCGGUGAUCCGCAGGUGACCGUUAGGAUCUGACACGCGAGACUCAGUACGGUCACGUGGCCAACCUCAGGGCACCGGACGCAGGGGGUCGAGCGUCCGGUGCUCACUUAGUAGCGUCCGGUGUGGUCGACUGCAGCACACUAAAAACAGCUAACGGCUAGUUUUUUUGUGUGUGCUUAUAAAUAGAAGGUGGCCGGCUUUGGGAGGUUCUCUCUUGCACAUUUGAUUACUUGAGGCAUACUUUGAGCUAGAGAACACUCCCUCCACUCAUCUCCUUGCUUGAUUGCUAAUCCUAGUGAGAUUGAGUGAGAUUCAAGUGCAUUGCUUUGAGAGUUGCAUUUAGUGGCACUUGAUUCUUGAGUUUGCUGCGGAUUUCUUGUUACUCUUGGGUGUUUCCCGACGCCCUAGACGGCUUGGAGCAGCGGUGGUGUUGUGCUCGUGCUUGGAGAUUGUUUCGAGCCUCACCAAGUGAUUUGUGAGGGGUUCUUGAGCCUUCCCCACGGGAGAUCGCAAUUGGCUACUCUAGUGGAUUGCUCGUGGCUUGGAGGAUCCUCUUCUUGUGAGUGGAUGUGCGGCACCCGCUGAGGGUUUGGCUUUGGAUUGCCAAUUAGCUCGUGAUCCAUCAAGUGGGUGUAUCGCCACAACGAGGACUAGCUUGCCGGGAAGCAAGUGAACCUCGGUAAAAAAUCUUGUGUCAUAUCUUGCCGAGAAUUCUCUUAUAAUUGUGAUUGAUUGAUUGGCUAUAUUUCUACUCUACAAUGUCGGUAUAACAAUCACUCACCUCUCCUUUACUUUUGUGCAUACCUUGCUAGUUGUGUAGCUUGUUUAGCUUAGUUCUUUGGUUGUUGUGCUUUAGUGUUUAGCCUUGUACUAGUUUUGUAUAGGUGGCUUGCUUAGCUUAGUUAAGCUAGUGCUAGAAUUGCUUCGCCAUUUGUUUUACUAACUCACUUGCUUAGUGAAGUUUGUAGAAAUUUUAAUAGGCUAUUCACCCACCCUCUAGCCAUUUGGACCUUUCAGUACUACUAUUCCACACCCGUACCCGCCAUACCCGAUGGGUAAAGGAUUUUGCCCAAUAACAUACCCGCGGGUACAGAAUCCAUUCCAUACCCGCGUUCUUAUCGGGUAAAACACGUCGGGUACUCGGGUUACGGGUACCCGUUGUCAUUUUGAGACGUCGUACUCUUCGUGACUUGUUUGAUUUCACAAACUUUUCUUUUUUUAAGAUAAUGUCACUUUAAAGUUUGUAUUUUAGUUUUACAAUAUUAUUAUUUUAUUAUGUGCUCCGUAUAUUUUAAAUAUAAAAGAUAGAUAUCCCGUAGCAAUGCACGGACAUGCUACCUAGUGUUUGAAAAGAACCAACCUAGGGUCAAACUUCUUAGAACCAUCGAUCCACUAAAAAAAUAACACAUCUCAUCGUUUGAUAAAAGUUAAUAACACCAUCAUAUCAAAGAAACAACAUUAACUAUUUACAAAGGUUACUUACACGAUAAGCGUGAUACGUGUAGUAGGUCUAUAUGUUGUAGUAUCCGGAUGCUUCAAUUAAAACCCAUGGGCUAGCUUAUUGCAAUCACACUUAGGAUGAACAUGUGUAUCUUUAUAUGACACAUCCGAGUAUAAACCUUUGGGAUGACCCUUCUUUCGUCACUUCUCCCUAUGCCACAUGUCCUCCAUCUUCAACAUUAGAGGGUACAAACAAAUCAAAUCCAUUAUUGUUGACUACCAACACUUCAUUGCAACUAAGGGAAAAAUUAUACUCUUGCACAAUCACAUUGCAUCAUAGAUUCCUCAAAAUUAAAACUGAAGAGUGCCAUACAUGUGUAGCGCACAAUUAAGCACUCAUAGCUAAGCCAUACAACUAAUUCCUCAUAACUUACAUCCAAUAAUUUGCACUCCAUGAUUUCAUUCGAAAUCAAGAACAUUCACCAAACUAGGGUUCCAAAAAUACUCAUUAAAUACACCAAACCAAUGUGUUAAAAUUGAGGAGGGGAUGGAGGAUACCUUGUUGUUUAAAAUCCACAUAUCAAAUCCUAGCUUUAAAGAUCCAAUAAGAUAUUGGAGAGGGUAGGACGAAUGAAGUGGGAGAGUGACAAGUGAGGGAAGAAAGGAGGGCACUUUGGCCCAUGUGCCCUUAAGUUCAAUGCUUGGACCUUGUUUAGAUCUUUUUUUUGGAUUUUGACACUGUAACACUUUCGUUUUUAUUUGACAAACAUUGUCCAAUCAUGAAGUAACUUGGCUUAAAAGAUUUGUCUCGCUAUUUACAGGUAAACUGUGCAAUUAGUUUUUGUUUUUAACUAUAUUCAAUACUCUAUGCAUAUGCCGCAAGAUUCAAUAUGACGGGGAAUCUUGAAAAAUUUUUGGUUUUGGGGUGAACUAAACAAGGCCUUGGUGUCAUAGCAUGUGCCGCCGAGGUGCCGCCACGUCAACAUCACCUUGGCGCGCCCACCACUUGGAUGCUUGAGGGCAAGGAUGGCAACGGGGAAUUCCCCGUCCGGGAACGACCCCCCAUCCCCGUCCCCAUGGAGGUAAAAAAUCCCCGUCCCCGUCCCCGCGAAAGGUUACGGGGAUAAUUUCUUUCCCAUCCCCGUCCUCGCUCGGGGAAUCAAUCCCCGCGGAGAUCCCCAUCCCCGAAUAAAUUCAUCAUGGUCACCCAUCCCAAAUAACAGUCCACAAGCAAUAAUAUACAUACAUUCAUAGUGAUUACAAUCCACAAAUAAAGACUCAGAUCAAUAAAAAUGCAUCCUAAAUUGCUUCACGCAUCUCAUCAAACUGAAGUACCCAGCUUUUGGACUUAUCCCCACACAAGGACAAAAUAAGAGUCCAAAAUAGAUUUGUUACGGAGACACGGGAAGGCCAAAUCUUGCACAGGUAUCCGAUAGUGUUAGCAACUGCCUGCUAGCUUGAAGAGCUGGGGAGGAAGUGGAUCUUGCCUCACGCACGUGCUGUCGCAGGCUCCCGAGCCGUCAUGCGUGGCUGCCGGUCUUCAUCCCAGGCUGCAAGGAGCUAUCGAUCUAGGACUAGGAUGGAUCCGAGGACUGGUGGUGGCGCUGGACUCCGGCGUUGAUGCGAGGUGCUAGCACGCUGUUCGGUGGCAGCCUGGCUGGUCUGCCGUGCGGUGUGCACUAUGGUCUGGACGAGCGGCGGCUGGAGUCUGGAACGAAGAGGUUGAGGAGUGGGGACUUAGGUUUAGCUGUUUACUUGUGCUUGUGCGUAUAUAUACUCCAUGUGACUUGGGCUUUUAGAUGGGGCUUCAGUCCUGACGUCUCACGUAUGCUCGACGGGGAGGGUUGGCGGGGAUCGGGGACGGGGUCAGCAAACCAUCUCCGCCCCCGUUAUCCCCGAUGGGGAUUAAUUCUCUCCCAAAUCCAUCCCCGUGGGGAGUAAUUUGUCCCUAUUUUCAUCCUUUAAUAGGGGAAUUCUCCGUGGGGACACGGGGAUUGGGUCCCCGUUGUCGUCUUGACUUGAGGGUUGGCACUAAAUCCUGUGACGGCAAGACGUGCAACCUCGCCUGUAGUUUAGAUUCAAAAAUAGUCACUUAGGGUGUUAUUGUGAACACCUUUCGAAAAAGACUAAAAAACAAAAGGUGAUAGCUUCUCCUCUCUUCAUAGAUUUUUACAGUUUUUUCUUACUUUUUUCAUAGCGGAAUUUAUUAUUGGGCCAAUGGCUUAUUUUCUCUGCCGACAUGGUGCAAGUAAACCUGCCCAAAACGACCAAUUCCAUGGUGUAACACGCAUCCAGUCCACCCCACCCCACCCCACCCCACCCCACGGUUUCUGCUCCAUGAUCAAACCCAACCAAACCACCUGACAUUAAACCAAACCAGACUACACCCAACUACUCAACCGGUUUGAAUUCAUUUGAAACCUGUUUUUCUAGAGAUGAUUUCUACCUUCCGCUCUAAUGCUCUAUGCAUUGGGCUCCACUUUACUAACCUACUAUUUGGACACCAAUCCUCACAGAUAAAUUAAAAAUUAUUAUUUACUUAUCGUUGGAUCACGUAAUUUCAUUAAAGUAAAGUAUAAAAUUUAAAAAAUGCAAACAAACCAAAUUAAUAUUUAAAUAAAAAACAUGAGGAGAAUUCUAAUAAUUAAAAAAAUUCAAUCUAUUAACUAGGUGUUAGAAAAAGUUUAAAAGUUGUGAAAACCAUUGUAUUAUUUGUGUUUCUCAAACACAUCUCAAAAUCUAAAUAUUUUAGGAUGUACUCCCUCCAUCUCUUUUUAAUUGUCGCUUGCGCUUCCCGAAAAACAACUGCCGACAAUUAUAUAUUAAAAAAUAUUAAUAUUUAUAAUACAUAAUUAGUAUCAUUAGAAAGAUCUUUGAAUCUAGUUUUUUAACAAAUUUAUUUGGAGGUACAAAUGUUACACGUAUUUUCUACAAAUCGAGUCAAACUUGUGACACGCAUACCAACGGCGACAAUUAAAAGAGGACAGAGAGAGUAUUUUUUAAAAGAGAUGUGUGCAUGGUUCUAUUACAACGCUUGGGCAUACAUUCUACUUCUUAUGUUCAAAAUUAUAAGAUAUAUUUUGACUUUUUUAAUACAAAAAGGAUGUAGGUAGUAAAUAUAAACAUAGUAUAGUUCAAGUUGUUUAGUUCACCCUAAAGAUCAAAAACUUUUCAAGAUUUCCCGUCACAUCGAAUCUUGCGGCAUAUACAUGUAGCAUUAAACAUAGAUGAAAACAAAAACUAAUUUGUACAGCUGUAAAUCGCGAGAUGAAUCUUUUAACCCUAAUUACUCUAUGAUUGAACAAUGUUUGUCAAAUAAAAACAAAAGUGCUACCAUGUCGAAAUCCAAAAAAUUUUCGGAUCUAAACAAGGCCUAAAUAAAGACAUACAAAUAGGGAAAGCCUGACUGGCAAAAAUUCACGUUUAAUUUCCGUGUGUAUAUAUCUACUAGUAAAGCAAAAUAUAUAAGAACGAUUCAGGCAAAAAAAAAAAAUCACGCCAUUUGGGGCUGCAGCUGGAUCUACUAAUCUAGAGAAAUUUCAAUAUUUAGGACUCAAUUCGUCUGCCUCGCAAGAUUUAGGAUCCAAUUCGUUUGCUAUUUAGGACUCGACAUGCGAAUUACUUCAAAAUUUGAGAUUUCAGCAAUUUUAUCUCAUUUUCUCUUUUUCUUUGAUCUUUUCACCUCUCGUGGUCACCUAAAAAGACCAACUACCCCUAGCGUCCUAGAACAUAUCCAUCUCAUUUGAUUCCAAAGCUCGUUGCCGGUGUCAAGCGCCAUGGCGAAGUUCUGCGGCAGCAGGCCGACGAUGAUCAAGACGGUGAGGCUGACGUUGUGGUGGCACUGUAGCUUGCUCGUGCAGCCGGGGCGCCCCGCCGGUGCCUGCCGCGCCCGCAGCAAGAACGCUCGAGGCUUCGAGCCCGGCGGCCUCGGCAGCUCGCCGGCGAUGGACCAUGGCCGCGGCACGGCGACGAGCAAGAUGAGGAGACAAACGAGCCGCGGAGGCGGCAUGGUGGUGAUUACAACCCUGCUGCAGUAGAUGGACGCGAUGGGCGGCUGAGAGGCACCGUGUCGGGGGCGUAAUGAAGCCAAUCUUUCUAUUCUAUAAUGAGUCAGGGGUAGUUUGGUCCUUUCAGAUGGCUAGGAGAGAAGAGAAUAUUUCAGAAAAGGGAAAUAAGAUAAAAUGACUUAAAUCCUAAAUCUUGAAGCAAUUCGCAUACUCAGUCCUAAAUAUUGAAAGGCACACGAAUUGGAUCCUAAAUCUUGUGAGGCAGACGAAUCUAUACCUAUCUAUAAAGAGGGAAAAUUUCAGUCUGCCCAAAAGUUUUCUUCCGUCAUGUCCUAUAUCCGGUUCCGUCUAGAACAGCGCGUGGUACGUUGUGGAGGAGGAAAAAAUGAAUAAAACCUUUUCUAGGGUUCUCAAUGCAAAAUCUCCUAUAUAUAUUAGAGCAUGUUAAAAAUAAAAAAAGUACAGGGGUUUAAGUACAAAUCUGUGCGCAGCCUAUCCGGCUUCAUCCACAAAUUGGGCCCGAAGGUAGACUUUUUGGAAGAGGAAAAAAAGAAUAGAAGUUUUUCUAGGGUUCUCAAUGCAAAAUCUCAUAUAAAAAUUAAAAAAUGUGUAGUAAUUCAUAGAAAAAAUCUAAAAAUUACAAAAAAAAAAUUCAGCUCCAUAUGUUUAGAUCAAUGCAGUAAACAAAAAAUAUCACAAAUUUUAGUAUAUUUUUUUUGUUGGAGAUGCUUGUCUAUGAUUUUUAGUAUAAAAUUGAAAUUGUAGUUAUCUUGCUCUAAUUAUUAUGAAAAUUUUAUGAUAGCCUAUUUGAUGUGAUGCUUGAUUUGUGGUAAAAGUUUUAGCACAAUUCCUAUAUAUCUCACCGAUUUACUAAUUUACCUAAAUUUAUGCUUGAUGAUGCUUCCACUACCUUUGCAUGAUGUGUUGUUAUUUCAUAUGAACACUUUAUAAGUCCAUGUGUUCAUAAUCUACGUACAUUUAACUGAUAUAUCAUAUUUCAUAGGAAUCAACAAAAACUUCUCAUGUUUUAAUAUAAUACUAAGGUAUAUUAAGAGGUAAUAUUAAAGUAAGAUAAGGUUUGACUAACUUCUAUUUUAUUAUUAAAUAAAUAUGUCUCUAAGCUACAUAUUAUUUUAAAUAUUAACUAUCUAAUACCAUAGAUGUCAUGUUGCUACAUAUCUCACUGAUUUACUAAUUUACCUAAAUUUAUGCUUGAUGAUGUUUCCACUAUUGCAUGAUGUGUUGUUAUUUCAUAUGAACACUUUAUAAGUCCAUGUGUUCAUAAUCUACGUACAUUUAACUGAUAUAUCAUAUUUCAUAGGAAUCCUAAUCUAGAUAAAAAAUAAAACUAGCAACAAACUUCUCAUGUUUUAAUAUAAUACUAAGGUAUAUUAAGAGGUAAUAUUAAAGUAAGAUAAGGUUUGACUAACUUCUAUUUUAUUAUUAAAUAAAUAUGUUUCUAUGCUACAUAUUAUUUUAAAUAUUAACUAUCUAAUACCAUAGAUGUCAUGGUUAUCAAUGAAAUAACUUAUGGACUUUAAAUUUUAUAAAAAAAUAAAUAUAAAUAAAUAUGUAAUAUUAUAUCAUAACUUUCUAUGGCUAUUUGAUGUUUUUUCUCUCAUUGCAACGCACAGUAAAAAACAAUCUCAAGAUUUACAUAGACUUCGGCUUACCAAUAAAAAAAUGUAUUGUUAGCUUCUUGUCUUUUCACGAACAAUGCACAAAUUGACAGAAACUUAUAUAAUUUAUAUAAAAUCAAAAUCAAAUCUAAAAAUUAUAAUUCAAAAGUUUAUUUGAAUCCUUUCAACCAGAGAGUAUAAGGUGUCAUUGCGCGUGAAAUAAAAAUCCUAAAAAGUCUAAGAGCAUGUAUAUAAAUUAUAUAUGGAUAGACUGCUUCAAAGUUAGUUUUAAAAGCUUAAAAAUUAUCAAAUUUAAUACAAAGGAUAAAACAUAAAUAAAUAUAACAAAGUGCUUAUUUUCUGCAAACGUCUAUUUACUCCUGUAGCAACGUACGGACAUAUUUUGCUAGUUGAGUCGUAAAUAUUGAAAUUUGUCACUAAUCUAGCGACGAGUCCUCGGCUACAGCAGGUUCCUCUCGAGCCCGAACGGUUGAUGGGCCCCACCGCCUCUUCUGUCAUUAAAAAAAAAAGGAAAAUAAAAACAAGAGAAGCCCCGCCUGCGCUGAACGCCUGUACUCCGCAAUCGAUCUAAUCUGCUCUCUCGCCGAUUCGCGUCACCGAGCUCAACGCGAACUCGCCGAUUCGCCGAUUCGCCGGCCGCUCAUCUCCUCUGCAUCAUCGCCGAUUCGCCGAGCUCUCGACAUCCCCAUCUUGACGGCCGCUGCCACCUCGACCUCGCUGCUCCUGGUACGCCCACCCUCCGCCGCCGCCGCCGCCGCCGCCGCCGCAGACGCCAAGAUGUUUGAUUUCUUUGUGGUGAUCGAUUUUGAGGCGACCUGCCAGGAAGGCUCGGUGAUCUACCCACAGGAGAUCAUCGAGUUCCCGUCCGUCCUCGUCGACGGCGCCACCGGCCGGACGCUGUCCACCUUCCGCACCUAUGUCCGCCCUCGGCACCAUCCCCGUCUCACCGAUUUCUGCCGCGAUCUCACCGGAAUCACCCAGGGAGACGUUGACGCUGGAGUCAGCCUCGCUGAGGCACUAGAGAUGCACGACCACUGGCUCGAAGCACAUGGUGCUAAGCUGGGCAAGCUCGCCGUUGUAACCUGGGGAGAUUGGGACUGCCGCACAAUGCUGGAGGGGGAAUGCCGCUUCAAAGGUAUAGAAAAGCCUCACUAUUUCGAUCACUGGAUUAAUCUAAGGC